ensembl:lncRNA
ACCCAGCCCGUCUCGCUGGCGCUGCGAGUUUUAAACCAGGCCCUUCAUCGGCUACCGUUCAAAAUGUUGACGCAGAAAUGCAUCUUCGGGUGUGUCUGUCCCCGAGAUUGGUUUGCAGCGAUCGACCUGAAGGACGCGUACUUUCAUGUAUCAAUCCUUCUGAGCCACAGACCUUUUCUGCGGUUUGCGUUCGAAGGACGGGCAUAUCAGUACAAGGUCCUGCCCUUUGGGGUUUCCCUGUCUCCCGUGUCUUCACAAAAGUUGUGGAGGUGGCUCUUGUUCCCCUCAGAGAGCAGGGUGUUCACAUUCUCAACUAUCUAAACGAUUGGCUGAUACUAGCACAAUCUCGGGAUCAGUUGUGCGAGCACAGGGACCCGGUGCUCUUGCACCUCAGCCUUCGGGUCAACUGGGAAAAGAGCAAGCUCUCGCCGAUGCAGAGGAUCUCUUUUCUCGGUAUGGAGUUGGAUUCGGUCGAACAGACAGCACACCUCACAGAGGAACAUGCGCGGUCGGUCAUAGCCUGCUUGAAUACAUUCAAGGGCAGGAUAGAGGUCCCACUGAAACUUUUACAGAGGCUCCUGGGGCAUAUGGCAGCCGCAGAUAACACCGUACACUGGCUUUAUGGCCGAGUCCCGAGGUGGGCAUGGAAGCGAGGCACUCACCGAGUCCAAGUUACACCGGCCUGUCACCAAACCCUAACCCCGUGGUCAGAUACGUUCCUCCGGGCAGGGCUGCCCCUAGAACAGAUAUCCAGGCAUGCUGUGGUUUACACGGAUGCCUCCACCACCGGCUGGGGGGCCACAUACAACGGGCGUGCAGUCUCAGAGGUUCGGACGGGACCGCAGCUGCUUUGGCACAUCAAUUGCCUAGAGCUGUUAGCAGUAAGCCUUGCUCUGAACCAUCUUAAAGGUCGCUUACAAGGCAACACAGUGACCGUUGCGUACAUCAACCGACAAGGUGGUCUGCGCUCCCGUCACAAGUCACAACUCGCCCGCCACCUCCUCUUUUAGAGUCAGAAGGUUCAGAGGUCACUUCGUGCUGUUCACAUUCCGGGCCUGCUCAACCGACGAGCCGACGAGCUGUCUCGAGCAAUGCUCCUGGGAGAAUGGCGACUCC